rnacentral:lncRNA from 1 species
AAUUGAUAGGAUUGAUUAGGGAUGCCUCACAGUGAGGGGCCGAGCUUCUGGCUGCGCCCUGAAUGUCGUGUGGGGCCUUUAAACGUGGACACGAAACGUUGUCACUGGAAACUGUGGGAAGCAGGGCUCUCCAGAGAGCAAAGCAGCAGUUCAGGAAAUGAAGGCAAAUGCCGUAUCGAAUGUGAAAGCAAAAAGUAGGAGUGAGCUAUCCAGAGGCAGAGGAACGGAGUCUUACCUGUUCGUGGUCCACCCACGUUUCCUGGCAUGCUUGGCAAUGCUUACAGUCAACGGUGGCUGGAAAGCCAAAGCCCCUUUGAGGAGGAAAUACUAUGAAGAUGAGAGACAGUAUCCAAGAAAGAUAGAAAAGUAGCCAUCGAGGGACAAUGUACACUUAAAAUAUAAUAAAUAUGUGGAACAGCAAAGUUGGAUGUUAGUA